GACACCACCAGGAAUAACGAAAUUGUUCACGUCCUCUGCAUCCUCUUCCAAGAUAGCAGCAGCUUCCUCCUCAGGUUGAUCAUCAUGGAUGAAUCCUCCACUCUUGAACAAACCUUGCUCAUUGAAUGCCCCAGAACAAUAGCCAAUGCCAGCCCGGGAUCUAUUGUCUUCAAGCUCAAUCAUCUUCCCCAAACCAGCAACUGCACCACAUUCAAUGGCCAGUUUCGCAUCACGGUAGGAAGCAAAUGAAGGAGACUUCUUCUC
rnacentral:lncRNA from 1 species